rnacentral:snRNA from 1 species
GAAGCCGGGUUACGGUGCCC